rnacentral:rRNA from 1 species
UACGGAGGGGGCUAGCGUUGUUCGGAAUUACUGGGCGUAAAGCGCGCGUAGGCGGCUUUGUAAGUUAGAGGUGAAAGCCCGGAGCUCAACUCCGGAACUGCCUUUAAGACUGCAUCGCUAGAAUUGUGGAGAGGUGAGUGGAAUUCCGAGUGUAGAGGUGAAAUUCGUAGAUAUUCGGAAGAACACCAGUGGCGAAGGCGACUCACUGGACACAUAUUGACGCUGAGGUGCGAAAGCGUGGGGAGCAAACGGG